UACGAGGGGGGCGAGCGUUUGUUCGGAAUUAUUGGGCGUAAAGGGUGCGUAGGCGGUUCCGCAAGUCCUGUGUGAAAUCUUCGGGCUCAACUCGAAGUCUGCACGGGAAACUGCGGGGCUUGAGUGUGGGAGAGGUGAGUGGAAUUCCCGGUGUAGCGGUGAAAUGCGUAGAUAUCAGGAGGAACACCGGUGGUGUAAACGGCUUUCUGGACCAUAACUGACGCUGAGGCACGAAAGCGUGGGUAGCAAACAGG
rnacentral:rRNA from 1 species